AAGAAAAUCUCUCCUAUCUCCCAAUACCGAUUAUCAUCAUCAUCUACAUCUUCCGAAUAAUACAUCUUCAUCAUCUUCAUCUUCAUCAUCUUUAUCAGCUUCAUCAGCUUCAUCGAUAACAAUCCAAGAAUGGCUGCGGAUGUAAAGAUACGCAAAACACCAACUACGAAGGCGAGAACACUUGACAACCUCCUAGAAGAUGGUGCGGUGCACAUAAGGAAGUGAUUGAUAU